rnacentral:rRNA from 1 species
UACACUCCUGCGGGAGGCAGCAGUGGGGAAUUUUGGACAAUGGGCGAAAGCCUGAUCCAGCAAUGCCGCGUGAGUGAAGAAGGCCUUCGGGUUGUAAAGCUCUUUUGUCAGGGAAGAAACGGUGAGAGCUAAUAUCUCUUGCUAAUGACGGUACCUGAAGAAUAAGCACCGGCUAACUACGUGCCAGCAGCCGCGGUAAUACGUAGGGUGCAAGCGUUAAUCGGAAUUACUGGGCGUAAAGCGUGCGCAGGCGGUUUUGUAAGUCUGAUGUGAAAUCCCCGGGCUCAACCUGGGAAUUGCAUUGGAGACUGCAAGGCUAGAAUCUGGCAGAGGGGGGUAGAAUUCCACGUGUAGCAGUGAAAUGCGUAGAUAUGUGGAGGAACACCGAUGGCGAAGGCAGCCCCCUGGGUCAAGAUUGACGCUCAUGCACGAAAGCGUGGGGAGCAAACAGGAUUAGAUACCCUAGUAGUCC